AGCGAACGCUGGCGGCAGGCCUAACACAUGCAAGUCGAACGAACCUUUCGGGGUUAGUGGCGGACGGGUGAGUAACACGUGGGAACGUGCCUUUAGGUUCGGCAUAACUCAGGGAAACUUGUGAUAAUACCGAAUGUGCCCUUCGGGGGAAAGAUUUAUCGCCCUUAGAGCGGCCCGAGUCAGAUUAGCUAGUUGGUUGAGGUAUAGACUCACCAAGGCGACGAUCAGUAGCUGGUAUGAGAGGAUGAUCAGCCACAUUGGGACUGAGACACGGCCCAAACUCCUACGGGAUGCAGCAGUGGGGAAUCUUGCGCAAUGGGCGAAAGCCUGACGCAGCCAUGCCGCGUGAAUGAUGAAGGUCUUAGGAUUGUAAAAUUCUUUCACCGGUGACGAUAAUGACGGUACCCGGAGAAGAAGCCCCGGCUAACUUCGUG
rnacentral:rRNA from 1 species